rnacentral:rRNA from 1 species
GAUGAACGCUAGCUACAGGCUUAACACAUGCAAGUCGAGGGGCAGCGGUAUCGAAAGCUUGCUCUCGGUAGCCGGCGACCGGCGCACGGGUGAGUAACGCGUCUCGAACCUGCCUCAUACUCGGGACUAGCCUUGCGAAAGUAAGAUUAAUGCGCGGUGUUUUCAGAGUCCCGCAUGAGGCUUUGAACAACGAUUUAUCGGUCUGACAUGGCGAUGCGUCCCAUUGGCUUGUUGGCGGGUAAACGGCCCACCACGGCAUCGAUGGGUAGGGGUUCUGAGAGGAAGGGCCCCCACAUUGGAACCGAGACACGGUCCAAACUCCUACGGGAGGCAGCAGUGAGGAAUAUUGGUCAAUGGGCGGAAGCCUGAACCAGCCAAGUAGCGUGCAGGAAGACGGCCCUCCGGGUUGUAAACUGCUUUUAGUUGGGAAUAAAACGGGGCUCGUGAGCCCCCUUGCAUGUACCAUCAGAAAAAGGACCGGCUAAUUCCGUGCCAGCAGCCGCCGUAA